CAACUUUUCAUUCAAGUAUCACAAAAUAAGUUAAAAUAAUCCUUCAUGGAUGUUCAAAAUAUUCAGACAAGCUUUGGAGAGUAACUUGACAAUAUUUUAUAUCUAAAGUAACUGUAAAUGCUUAUCGUUGUUUUUUUUCCAGCCCAAGUCAACAUCAACAGUGAAAUCUAUGAUCCAACCCACAACAACCUUCAAGUCAACAUCAACAGUAAAAUCUAUGAUCCAACCCACAACAACCUUCAAGUCAACUAUGGCUGCCUCAACAACCAUGGAUGCUAUUGAGACAAGUAUGCCUGCCUCCACA
rnacentral:lncRNA from 1 species